rnacentral:rRNA from 1 species
GAUGAACGCUAGCUAUAGGCUUAACACAUGCAAGUCGAGGGACCGGCGCACGGGUGAGUAACGCGUAUCCAACCUGCCCAUAACUAAGGGAUAACUCAGCGAAAGUUGGACUAAUACCUUAUGGUUAUGGAUGGGGAUGCGUCUGAUUAGCUUGUUGGCGGGGUAACGGCCCACCAAGGCAACGAUCAGUAGGGGUUCUGAGAGGAAGGUCCCCGACAUUGGAACUGGACCACGGUCCAAACUCCGACCGGAUGCAGCAGUUAGGAAUAUUUGGCAGUGGACGCGAGUCUGAACCAGCCAAGUAGCGUGCAGGAUGUCGGCCUAUGGGUUGUAAACAGCUUGUAUAUGGGGAUAGGUACCAUAUGAAUAAGGACCGGCUAAUUCCGUGCCAGCAGCCGCGGUAAUUC